AUUGAACGCUGGCGGCAGGCCUAACACAUGCCAGUCGAGCGGAUGAAGGGAGCUUGCUCAUGGAUUCAGCGGCGGACGGGUGAGUAAUGCCUAGGAAUCUGCCUGGUAGUGGGGGAUAACGUCCGGAAACGGGCGCUAAUACCGCAUACGUCCUGAGGGAGAAAGUGGGGGAUCUUCGGACCUCACGCUAUCAGAUGAGCCUAGGUCGGAUUAGCUAGUUGGUGGGGUAAAGGCCUACCAAGGCGACGAUCCGUAACUGGUCUGAGAGGAUGAUCAGUCACACUGGAACUGAGACACGGUCCAGACUCCUACGGGAGGCAGCAGUGGGGAAUAUUGGACAAUGGGCGAAAGCCUGAUCCAGCCAUGCCGCGUGUGUGAAGAAGGUCUUCGGAUUGUAAAGCACUUUAAGUUGGGAGGAAGGGCAGUAAGUUAAUACCUUGCUGUUUUGACGUUACCAACAGAAUAAGCACCGGCUAACUUCGUG
rnacentral:rRNA from 1 species